rnacentral:hammerhead_ribozyme from 1 species
AUCCAGAUGACGAGUCCCAAAUAGGACGAAAUGCGCACCCUUGAU